rnacentral:rRNA from 1 species
CUGAGAGGAUGAUCAGCCACACUGGAACUGAGACACGGUCCAGACUCCUACGGGAGGCAGCAGUGGGGAAUAUUGCACAAUGGGCGCAAGCCUGAUGCAGCCAUGCCGCGUGUGUGAAGAAGGCCUUCGGGUUGUAAAGCACUUUCAGUCGUGAGGAAGGUGGUGUAGUUAAUAGCUGCAUCAUUUGACGUUAGCGACAGAAGAAGCACCGGCUAACUCCGUGCCAGCAGCCGCGGUAAUACGGAGGGUGCGAGCGUUAAUCGGAAUUACUGGGCGUAAAGCGCAUGCAGGUGGUUUGUUAAGUCAGAUGUGAAAGCCCGGGGCUCAACCUCGGAAUAGCAUUUGAAACUGGCAGACUAGAGUACUGUAGAGGGGGGUAGAAUUUCAGGUGUAGCGGUGAAAUGCGUAGAGAUCUGAAGGAAUACCGGUGGCGAAGGCGGCCCCCUGGACAGAUACUGACACUCAGAUGCGAAAGCGUGG